GGAAUCUUGCGCAAUGGGGGAAACCCUGACGCAGCGACGCCGCGUGGGUGAUGAAGGCCUUCGGGUCGUAAAGCCCUGUCGGAGGGGAAGAACGGUUGGCGCUCGAAUAGGGCGCUAGCUUGACGGUACCCUCAAAGGAAGCACCGGCUAACUCCGUGCCAGCAGCCGCGGUAAUACGGAGGGGGCAAGCGUUGCUCGGAAGCACUGGGCGUAAAGAGCGUGUAGGCGGUUUCGUAUGUCUGGCGUGAAAGCCCCGGGCUCACCCCGGGAAGUGCGUUGGAAACUGCGAAACUAGAGUCUCGGAGAGGAAGGUGGAAUUCCAGGUGUAGCGAUGAAAUGCGUAGAUAUCUGGAAGAACACCAGUGGCGAAGGCGGCCUUCUGGACGAUGACUGACGCUGAGACGCGAAAGCGUGGGGAGCAAAC
rnacentral:rRNA from 1 species